rnacentral:rRNA from 1 species
UUAGAGUUUGAUCCUGGCUCAGGAUAAACGCUGGCGGCGUGCCUAACACAUGCAAGUCGAACGACCUUGACCGCAAGGCCAAGGGAGUGGCGGACGGGUGAGGAACACGUGGGUGACCUACCUUGAAGUGAGGGAUACCGGCGGAAAUCGCCGACAAUCCCGCAUAGGUUUCUCUCUUCGAGAGGAAGAGAGAAACAAAGCUUUUUUCGCGAGAAGAGGGCGCUUUGAGAUGGGCCCGCGGCCGAUUAGCUGGUUGGUGGGGUAAAAGCCUACCAAGGCUGCGAUCGGUAGCUGGUCUGAGAGGACGAUCAGCCACACUGGGAUUGAGAACGGCCCAGACUCCUACGGGGGGCAGCAGUGAGGAAUUUUCGGCAAUGGGGGCAACCCUGACCGAGCAACGCCGCGUGCAGGACGAAGGUCUUCGGAUCGUAAACUGCUUUUUCUCUGGGAAGAGCGAGGACGGUACCAGAGGAAGAAGCCCCGGCUAACUACGUGCCAGCAGCCGCGGUAAUACGUAGGGGGCGAGCGUUGUCCGGAGUUACUGGGCGUAAAGGGCAUGUAGGCGGUCCGAUCAGUUUGGGGUUACAGCUCCCGGCUCAACUGGGAGAGCGCCUCGAAGACGGUGGGACUUGAGAGCCAGAGAGGGACACAGAAUUCCGGGUGUAGUGGUGAAAUGCGUAGAUAUCCGGAGGAAUACCAAAGGCGAAGGCAGUGUCCUGGCUGAUUUCUGACGCUGAGGUGCGAAARCUAGGGGAGCGAACGGGAUUAGAUACCCCGGUAGUCCUAGCCGUAAACGAUGACCACUAGGUGUGCGGGGUAUYGACCCCCUGCGUGCCGCAGCUAACGUGAUAAGUGGUCCGCCUGGGGAGUACGGUCGCAAGAUUAAAACUCAAAGGAAUUGACGGGGACCCGCACAAGCAGCGGAGCGUGUGGUUUAAUUCGAUGCAACCCGAAGAACCUUWCCGGGGUUUGACAUGCAGUGGAAAGCCGUAGAGAUACGGUCCUYCCGCAAGGGAUCGCUGCACAGGUGGUGCAUGGCUGUCGUCAGCUCGUGCCGUGAGGUGUUGGGUUAAGU